ensembl:lncRNA
CCAGCAUAAAUGUAUCCAAGUCCAAAGAAGCAUUAAUCUGACCCUUUCCAACAGUCACCUAGAUAGAGUCUGUGUUUGUCUGUUUAUCUUUCAGUCUGUUCGUCCAUUUGUGUGUUUGUCUUUCUUUCUUUCUGUGUCCUGGAUAGAGAGUUGAAUUACCACAACCAGAAGAGCUGUAUUCUCUGUGUUCUGUGUUCUGUGUCCUGUGCUGUGGAUAUCUAGUGCUGGGUGAGAGAGGGGGACUGGUUGCUUGGUAAGAUGUCUGUCUUAUAUGGCUUGCAGUAGCUCAUUCCCAGGGGGCUGUCUGGUCUGGUCCGCCUGGGGGUGAUUUGUGAGAGUCGCUCACUCUUUCUUUCUUUCCAUUUUAUCAUUUUAUCAUGGUCAAUCUAUUUUAUUGAUGUCUACCCGUCUCAAGAAAACACCAUCACAAAUCUGUGUCAAAAACACUACUCGUCCCUGUCUCAAAAGCACCUCACAAACCUGUCUCAACAACACCUCACAAACCGGUAUCAAUAUGAGGGCGUGUGUGUCCAGAGUCACCCUGCUAUGAGUGUGUGUGUGUGUGUCCAGUGUUAGUCUAUGAGUGUGUGUGUGUGGCCAGUGUUAGUCUGCUAUGAGGGAGUGUGUCCAGUGUUAGUCUGCUAUGAGGGAGUGUGUGUGUGGCCAGUGUUAGUCUGCUAUGAGUGUGUGUCCAGUGUUAAUCUGCUAUGAGUGUGUGUCCAGUGUUAGUCCGCUAUGAGGGAGUGUGUGUGUCCAGUGUUAGUCUGCUAUGAGGGAGUGUGUGUGUGUGUCCAGUGUUAGUCUGCUAUGAGGGAGUGUGUGUGUCCAGUGUUAGUCUGCUAUGAGUGUGUGUGUCCAGUGUUACUCUGCUAUGAGGGAGUGUGUGUGUCCAGUGUUAGUCUGCUAUGAGUGUGUGUUAGUCUGCUAUGAGUGUGUGUGUGUGUGUCCAGUGUUAGUCUGCUAUGAGUGUGUGUUAGUCUGCUAUGAGUGUGUGUGUGUGUCCAGUGUUAGUCUGCUAUGAGUGUGUGUGUCCAGUGUUAGUCUGCUAUGAGGGAGUGUGUGUGUGCAGUGUUAGUCUGCUAUGAGUGUGUGUGUCCAGUGUUAGUCUGCUAUGAGGGAGUGUGUGUGUGUGAGGGUGUCGGCCAACCCCUCCCCUGCAGUAGCACUCCUGCAGACGAUGGCCUGGGCCUGCAGGGGACGGGGGGGGAGGGGGGCAUAGAUGG